AUUCUUGGAAUCUUACUGGAAUAACUAUUUUCGCCAUUUUUUCAGUGGAAAGAGCCAAAAAGUGGAAUGCAAUUCGAUCUCUUAUAUACUUACCGCUCUGCGGGAGUCCCAAGCUGGAUCCCAGCGACACGUGCAAAUUCUCCAGGAGGCCGCUUAACUCCGUGCCGUACUCGUUGCGCUGCAAAUGGAAAGAAUGGCGGAUAAGGAGAAUGAGAAUGGGGCUAUUGGCCAGAUUGAAUUAUGCGCAAAUGCGAUUAAAAGUUCUUCCAGCUACUACUGGAAGCAUGCAAAAGAGCAAAGUAAUUUGAUCCGAGUGGGAUUUAUCAGGCAUGGCACUGCUCUGCACUACACUACACUACACUGCACUGCACUACACGGAUCUGCAUUACACAUGGAACGGAAC